rnacentral:rRNA from 1 species
GAUGAACGCUGGCGGCGUGCCUAAUACAUGCAAGUCGAGCGAACAGACGAUGAGCUUGCUCCUCUGACGUUAGCGGCGGACGGGUGAGUAACACGUGGAUAACCUACCUAUAAGACUGGGAUAACUUCGGGAAACCGGAGCUAAUACCUGAUAAUAUCUUGAACCGCAUUGUUCAAUAGUGAAAGACGGUUUUGCUGUCACUUAUAGAUGGAUCCGCGCCGCAUUAGCUAGUUGGUAAGGUAACGGCUUACCAAGGCGACGAUGCGUAGCCGACCUGAGAGGGUGAUCGGCCACACUGGAACUGAGACACGGUCCAGACUCCUACGGGAGGCAGCAGUAGGGAAUCUUCCGCAAUGGGCGAAAGCCUGACGGAGCAACGCCGCGUGAGUGAUGAAGGUCUUCGGAUCGUAAAACUCUGUUAUUAGGGAAGAACAAAUGUGUAAGUAACUAUGCACGUCUUGACGGUACCUAAUCAGAAAGCCACGGCUAACUACGUG